GACUACCAGGGUAUCUAAGCCCGUUUGCUACCCUGGCUUUCGCGUCUGAGCGUCAGUUGUGGUCCAGGAAGUCGCCUUCGCCACUGGUGUUCUUCCGAAUAUCUAUGCAUUUUACCGCUACACUCGGAAUUCCACUCCCCUCUACCACACUCUAGUCUGCCAGUUUUGAACGACCUCUCCCAGUUUAGCCGGGAGCUUUCACAUCCAACUUAACAAACCGCCUGCACGCGCUUUACACCCAGUAAAUCCGGAUAACGCUCGUCUCCUACGUGUUACCGCGGCUGCUGGCACGUAGUUAGCCGAGACUUAUUCCACCGGUACCGUCCUUCCUCUUCCCGGUGAAAAGUACUUUACAACCCGAAGGCCUUCAUCGUACACGCGGCGUUGCUGGUUCGCGCUUUCGCACAUUAACCAAUAUUCCCUACUGCAGCCCCCCGUAGG
rnacentral:rRNA from 1 species